UGGGGAAUAUUGCACAAUGGGCGGAAGCCUGAUGCAGCGACGCCGCGUGGGGGAUGAAGGCCUUCGGGUUGUAAACUUCUUUCGACAGGGACGAAGCUUUUGUGACGGUACCUGUAUAAGAAGCACCGGCUAACUACGUGCCAGCAGCCGCGGUAAUACGCAGGGUGCGAGCGUUGUCCGGAAUUACUGGGCGUAAAGAGCUCGUAGGUGGUUUGUCGCGUCGUCUGUGAAAUUCCGGGGCUUAACUCCGGGCGUGCAGGCGGUACGGGCUGACUUGAGGGCUGUAGGAGAGACUGGAGUUCCUGGUGUAGCGGUGGAAUGCGCAGAUAUCAGGAGGAGCACCGAUGGCGAAGGAAGGUCUCUGGGCAGUAACUGACGCUGAGGAGCGAAAGCAUGGGUAGCGAACAGG
rnacentral:rRNA from 1 species